UUUGCAGAGGAAUCAUCCAGGAGCAGCAGCCAGAGGAGAAAUUGGCAGACAUGGACCUGAGCAGCCUGGACAUCCUUCUAAGCAGAGAUUAACAGACCUCAACUUUCUACCUUCCACAUAACAGGGUGUGAUACCAAUAGAAAAGAAGUGGAGGGUCAGCGUCCACUUCCCUCAUGCGAUGGAAAGCGAGUGAGAGCGAUGAGAUAGCAAGCAUUACUGAUGCCAGGUAAGAGCCGUCCAGCUGGGAGUGGAGCAGCCACCACCUCAUUGAGAGUAAGUGUCUGUUUUGGUGAUUGCUCUGCUCACGGCCCACUUCGCUCCAGGUAGGCACAUCCUGUUAGCUAGGUCUGUGUUUGUAAGAAAACGUUCCUGACUAGCUAUGGUUCUGAGAGAGACAAGGUCCCCGUUUUCAGGGGCUGCUCACUUCUUUGUUCACAAGCGCUGUGUCCUCUGCAGAAAUCGUUAGAUCCAGAAAGUUGAUUCCAGGUGGCGAGUUGCUUGCCUUCCUCCUGUGUUUUUCUCUCUGUCUCUCUCCUCUGGUACGUUGGCCAACACACACCCUCUUCUGUCUCUCUGUUCUUGCCUUUCUUUGUGCUGUCUUCCUUCAUAGGACACGGGCGAGGUGCUAGGUGUGCAUCCCCACAGGCUAGGUCUUGGGAUCCAUGGAGAAGUAGAAGUGGAGAAAAUCAUGCGGGGCAGUGGGCGCUACAGUGGAGCAGUGACUGUCGGUGUUGACUCGGUCAUGGUUCAUCGAGUUGGCCUGAUGUAGACGGGACGGGAGAGGGAGGCAGGGAUGAGGGCAAGAUUACUUGGACCAAUUGAAUUUUGUGUAGUGAUGGCUUUUGCUUGGCUUUUUUCUGUGCUUGCAUAGGAAUCGUCAAGGAGAAGGUGGCAGACAUGGAGCUGAGGAGCCUGGACAUCCUUCUAAGCAGACAUGAACAGUCCUCACCUUUCUGCCUCUCACAUAACUGGCUUACUAAGGGAAAAUAAGUCACGCGCCAGAAUCUACUGCCCUCAUGCUAUGGAAAGCAAUGAGACUGCGAGUAUUGUCGAUGCCACGCAAAAGCCAUCCAACUGGGAGCGGAACAACUGCCACUCUCAAUGAGAUAAGUGUCUGUUUUGGUGAUUGCUCUGCUCACGGCCCUCCCUGCUCCUGGUAGGGACGCCACAUUAGCUGGGGCUGGGUUUGUAAGAAAAUGUUGUUGACUAGUUGUAGUUACGAAGGACACAAAGUCCCCAUUUUCAGGGGCUGGU